CACUUACCCAGCUAUCUAAAUCUGCUCAGCUUCCAGGUCUAGUGCUAAAACUUGUUUUACAUCAUCUAAUGCUGUAUUCUAUUCAGGAUUAAACCUGACAGACCCGCCUUCUGCUGACUUCUCAGCUGCUGUUACAUCCUUCUUG